rnacentral:rRNA from 1 species
UACGGAGGGUGCAAACGUUGCUCGGAAUCAUUGGGCGUAAAGCGCACGUAGGCGGUCCGGCAAGUCGGGUGUGAAAUCCCUCGGCUCAACCGAGGAAGUGCAUUCGAAACUACCGGACUUGAGUACUGAAGAGGGUCGCGGAAUUCCCGGUGUAGAGGUGAAAUUCGUAGAUAUCGGGAGGAACACCAGCGGCGAAGGCGGCGACCUGGGCAGAUACUGACGCUGAGGUGCGAAAGCGUGGGGAGCAAACGGG